rnacentral:rRNA from 1 species
AGCUGGAAACGGCUGCUAAUACCCCAUAGGCUGAGGAGCAAAAGGAGGAAUCCGCCCCAGGAGGGGCUCGCGUCUGAUUAGUUAGUUGGUGAGGCAAUGGCUUACCAAGGCGACGAUCAGUAGCUGGUCCGAGAGGAUGAUCAGCCACACUGGGACUGAGACACGGUCCAGACUCCUACGGGAGGCAGCUGUGGGGAAUUUUCCGCAAUGGGCGAAAGCCUGACGGAGCAAUGCCGCGGGGAAGGCAGAAGGCCCACGGGUCAUGAACUUCUUUUCUCGGAGAAGAAAAAUUGACGGUAUCUGAGGAAUAAGCAUCGGCUAACUCUGUGCCAGCAGCCGCGGUAAGACAGAGGAUGCAAGCGUUAUCCGGAAUGAUUGGGCGUAAAGCGUCUGUAGGUGGCUUUUCAAGUCCGCCGU